rnacentral:lncRNA from 1 species
AUGGAAUUCCCCAGGUGAUUGCCAUCAGAUUCUCUACUUGAAAAACUUGGUCAAUGACAAGAAAAACUAAAAUUAGCAAAGCCCUGGUAACAUAGCCUGAGCCCCUGGGAGUCAGCCACACCCGAGGCUCGCCCACAGUCUUCUGGGCACCUAAGUCAACUUCUCUCUGGAUGGACAUCCACUUCGGCGUUGCCAACAAGCUUGUUAGAAGUGUAAAGCGUGUUACUUCCGCCCACCGAAUCCCAGUUGCUGUGCUCUAAGCAGUUCUCUACAUGACUCUGGGUGCCCAUUCAUGUUUGGAAAUCUGAGGCUAAAAGAACAAAGGCUUUAUUGUCUGAUGGAAGAGCAACUCAAAAGGAUAGAAAUGUUGCCAGUCCACGCACAGACUACGGAAUCUUCAAUGCCAAGACUUUACUUCAUCGACACCUGGCUGGGCAGAGCAGGAGCCGGGCCUGGGAGACUGUACCGGGCAUGCAUGGCCACGUCACCUGGGAGCCCCUCCGCUGGAAGGCCACCUGCACCCUUCUCUUACCGUUUUCCUUUCGGUUGAUGGGGCUUUUGCUUUGGAACUCACAGUCACUUAUUGUCACGUGCCAUUAUUUCCGGGUUCUUCAUGCCCUACAUGAAUUCCGGGUUUGAGUCCACCGGUGACGGUGGUUUGCGCUUGCGCAGAUGAGGCGCUUGGCUCGUCAGAAUGAUGCAGGCUGGCAUUGACCAAUAGAAACAGGCCAUGACGCCCGGGUGGAUAUAAAGGCAGGCUUGCAUCCGGCUCGGGGUCUUUCCGCCAUUGAAGAUUGUAGAAGAAACUCCAAUAAAGCGUGCAUCAGAAGAAUCCUGAGUGUUGCGUGCUCCUUGCUGGCGAGGUGCGCGCGACAACUUAUUGCUUCUUCCUGUCCCAGAUAAGUAGCCUCACAGGCCAUCCUGGUGGUCCUUGGCCUCUGUCAGGCCCCGGCCCACUGCAGGGGUCAUCUGCGGACACUGGUAUCUCCUCUUCCUUUGCAAAGCCGCUCUCGGGCUGCUCCUGGCCCUUCGUGGACGCUGACUGCAACCUGAGCUGCCCACUGAGAACUUUCCGACCACCAGGGCAUAAAGGUGAAGGCAGCCAGCCACAGUCAGACACUAAACGGAAGUGGAGCCCAAGCAGGUCCGGAAGGCACAAGUAAGCUACAUGAAGAUGCCCGAGUACCCAAGUGUAACGGGGUUUACUGAGUAGGCUUACGGCGGCCACCUGCCGAGUCGGGGUGGAAGAGGGUAAGUGGGCCCUGUGUGCCCUGGAGAGUCUGAGGAGCCGGCGAAGGCACAGGCCGAAGUCUGGGCACUCGCUGCACAGCCCUGUGCAAACCCACAUCUGAAAGCUGAGACUGCGCUGGGAGGGCUGAAGGAAGUGGAGACAAGUGUCCAAAGGAGGGGCCGGGGAUUUGGCUCAGUGGUUCCGCCACCUGCCUCGGGAGCACAAGGACCCCAGUUCUCCUCUUCCUCCUCCUCUCCCUCCUCCCCCCCCUCCUCCUCUUUUAUCAGCGCAUGUUUGCAGUGCCCGCUCACACACCUUGUGUGGAGUUCAUCCCCUUCCCAUCCACUGCCUUCCAUUGCCUUCCUCCUCCUCCCAACCUCUUGGUUCCCUUCCCAUUUGAGAAAGAGCCGUCUCCCUACUCCCUAUAAACGAUCUUUGCUUUUGCUCCUUGUUCAUAACUUAGGUUUCC